rnacentral:rRNA from 1 species
UACGUAGGGUGCAAGCGUUAUCCGGAAUUAUUGGGCGUAAAGAGCUCGUAGGCGGUUUGUCGCGUCUGCUGUGAAAACUGGGGCUCAACCCCCAGCCUGCAGUGGGUACGGGCAGACUAGAGUGCGGUAGGGGAGAUUGGAAUUCCUGGUGUAGCGGUGGAAUGCGCAGAUAUCAGGAGGAACACCGAUGGCGAAGGCAGAUCUCUGGGCCGUAACUGACGCUGAGGAGCGAAAGCGUGGGGAGCGAACAGG